GAUCAGAUAGAUAGCCUAGAGCACAUAGAGACAUAUAUUUAUAUGGUUAUGCCUUCAGGAUGCCGACAGUGAUACUAAUUAUUUAAUGAUUAUUAAUGUAUAACAUGUCAUAUUAUUGGCUAUGAUCGUAUUAAUUUUAUAUUCAGAUCAGUCAUGUACAAACAUUAGAUUCUAGACAAUUAAGCUUUCCCAUGCCUGAUAAAAUUGAGGUAGCAGGUAAUUCCUAUGUGAGCCAUGUCUAGCACUGAAAACAUUUUGCAAUUGGAAUUAUGCUUUCAAUAGUUUCAUAUAAAAUCAACACUUGAAGUCAUAGAUGGAUAUUUCGACUAACAAAUCUAACAAAUCAUAAAUAAGUGGUUGUAAAAAGACAUCCACAUCACUACCUGGUCCAUGUUUACCGGGAAUGAGCAAAGAAAGGAUGAAAUUUGACUGCUUCAUGCACAUGGAAGGUGGGAAAUUGAGUGGAAUACAGAUAUCAGGCCAAACACUAUAGCUAACAUUGUUCAUUCUAAAUGGAUUAAACUCAUCCGUGGCAAAUGCUAGACGGAUAUUUCGACUAUCUGCAGAAAAUUCUGGAUGCCUCUCAUCAAAGUCCUGCCAUACACUAGUACAGAGAAGGGCUUUAGCCCCGGGCCGUAAGCGCCUUUAGUCCCGGCUACGGAACCGGGGCUAAGGUUUCGGGACUAAAUGUCCCAACUUUAGUCCCGGUUCCGUGGACCGGGACUAAAGGUCCACCUUCAGUCCCGGUUGGUAACAGCAACCGGGACUAAAAGGUGCGCCAGGGUGUGCCACCUGGCCUCCACUUUUAGUCCCGGUUUUUGCUACCAACCCGGACUAAAGACUUUUUUCUUUUUUCUUUUUUCUUUUUUCUUUUUCUUUUCAUUUGGUUUUCCAUUUAGAGUUUACAAUUAUGUUAUUGUUAUUUUCGAAUGCGUAUUGUUUGCUGGUAGUUUAUGUAACGCGCACCUAUAAUUUAUAUAAUUUAAAGGAUUACAUAUAAAUAUACUAUAAAACACUAUAUAUAUAUAUAAAUAAUAUGUAUCUAUAGGUCCAUAAUAAAAUAUUUACACAUAUGCUUCACGGACAAAGUAUUUACAACACAAUUUAUCUCCACCACUCAAGCAUCGUACAAAUGAUCAUCGUUAUUUGGUUUCAUCUGCUCCUGAGGGUUGAAGUAGCACUCGCCGCCGGAAUCCAGGACUUGGUCGUUAAGAAAUCCUGCGAUUGUCUCCUGAAUUCCUUUUAGGCGCACCGCAUCCAACACCUGCUCCUUCAGCCACAUCUCCUAUAAUAGACAUUAAAGAAAAAAGUUAGAGGUAUGAAUAGGAUUUAUUAAAUAGCAACAAACAAAUGAAAUAUACUUAUUAUAUAUACAUGUUACAUACUUUUAGGUGCUCAAGAUUAGUUCUUUUGGCAUAUACCGUCAUAAACUCGCACACAUAGUAGCCACACAAAUUGUUGCCCGGUGUCUGCUGUAGAACCCACUGAAGUAAGAUGGGCUUUGAAAGUGAUGCAUUCAACUCUGGACGGUGUUUCUGCACGAACCCAGCCCAAACCCUAGCAAUAAAACGAUCAUUAUUAAUUAUCCAUUACCAAGUUAAAAGAGCAGAAUUUAAUAUAUAGAGAUCGGAGUUACCCUUGGAUAAUAUCUAUCAUUUCUUGGUAAUCAUCCUGUGGUUUUCUCAAUGAGUCAUAGAUUACCAAUUGACAUUGCCAGAGAUCAAUGACAAUUAGUAUCCAAUGAAAGCUGCAUUUGUGUGCAUAAGUAGGCAAAAUUAGUAUAUAUCUUCAUAUUGAUCUGAUUAAUUAGUUAAAUAGAAUGUACACACGAUAACGACACUUACUUAAAGUUGUAGGGAAAGAGUAUAUAUCUUUUAUCUUUUUGGUUGAUCAAGAACCUUCGUAGAUUUCUCUCCGUUUGAGUUCUCCAUAAAACAUACGGGGUCUUGUGGUCUUUGAAUACAACAUUUGGAUCCACAAAUCCAAUCUCCUUGUCAUUUCUAACUCUGAGGUCCCUCAUCAUGUUUCUGCAUAUGUAUAGUGG
rnacentral:lncRNA from 1 species